CGUAUGCAACUUGCCCUCAACAGGGAAAUAGCCCGGAGAAAUUCGGAUUAAUGUCCCAUAGUAUUACAAGAUCGCAUGGUGUUGUAAUUAAAGUUUCGGCGGUUGAGGAUGGGCAUGCGUCCUAUUAGCUAGUUGGAGAGGUAACGGCUCACCAAGGCUACGAUAGGUAGGGGGCCUGAGAGGGUAAUCCCCCACACUAGUACUGAGACACGGACCAGACUCCUACGGGAGGCAGCAGUGAGGAAUAUUGGGCAAUGGACGAAAGUCUGACCCAGCCAUGCCGCGUGCAGGAUGACUGCCCUAUGGGUUGUAAACUGCUUUUGUAAGGGAAUAAACCCUCGUUCGUGAACGAGGCUGAAGGUACCUUACGAAUAAGGAUCGGCUAACUCCGUGCCAGCAGCCGCGGUAAUACGGAGGAUCCAAGCGUUAUCCGGAUUCAUUGGGUUUAAAGGGUCCGCAGGCGGGUUAUUAAGUCAGUGGUGAAAUCCUGCAGCUUAACUGUAGAACUGCCAUUGAUACUGGUAAUCUUGAGUAUAGUUGAGGUG
rnacentral:rRNA from 1 species